UUGGCAGAUGUAUGGCCAGCCCAACUCAGAGUUUACCUGGGGAGGUGCCAUAAAGAAUUUUCAGUAAUGAGGAGACUAAACUGGGGACACAAAUGCAAAGAUUUGUUCUAAAAUGGACACCGUACUAAGGGUUGCAGGCUCACGUUCUACCCCAUCUCCGUAUUCUGUACCUUGAGUCCCCUCCUACUGAUUCCCUCCGAUACUAUUUCACCACAAAAAGCACCUCCUCUAACCACUGGGGCAAUGGGGUCUUUCUCACCAACAGAGGGCAGUGCCAGGGCAUGUGAGCACAUACAGGCAGAAAUAGCAGUUCCCGGGUUAGUUUUAAGGGGCCCUGGGAAUGCUGAAAGGAUUGGCCCCUAUCUGAGGGGGACCAUGAAUUUACUAUCCAGUCUCCCACACCCUGCAGUCCAAUCAGUUGUGAACUGAAGAAUAUUGGGCAGACUGUGCCCACCUUUAUGCACCGACUCAUUCUAAGUCACAUACACAGAUUUAUCAUGGUAUAUUUUGUACCCACAGAUGUAAAAACUGAGUACGGGGGCCUGGCUGAUGCAAAUUUUAAAAGCAGAUUCAAAGAGGUGGUUCACCUUCAGGUUAACUUUAAGGGGUGAAAGCCCAGUGAUCUGGUGCAGGGGGUGAAAGCCCAGCGAGUGAACUGGGCACAAUGAUACAGAAUUGUUCAGUGCAGAGCCAGGCUUAUUCCCUUCCCCUUAUCCUGCCAGACCUACGCAGGGAGGAGGCCAUACAUCAGAUCAGACACCUUGCAAUAACUGCAGACUGUAUCCAAUGACCUCUUCAGCAGGAUUCUGCAGAGGGUGGAGACCAACACAAACCAACUACAGAGAAUCAAUGGCCGACUGAGCCUUGCACAAGCAACGAUAGAAAGGCUCAAAGGCAGCAAGAAAGUCAUUAAGGAUCUCAAUCCCCAUGGUGCCUGUGUCCCCCAAUGUAGGAGAAGAGAAAAAGAUUUAACGGUAAGUCAAUAAUCUCGCUUUCAAAUUUGUUGUCUCUUUAU